UACGAGGGGGGCGAGCGUUGUUCGGAAUUAUUGGGCGUAAAGGGUGCGUAGGCGGUUUGGUAAGUCUUGUGUGAAAUCUACAGGCUCAACUUGUAGUCUGCACGAGAAACUGCCGGGCUUGAGUGUGGGAGAGGUGAGUGGAAUUCCUGGUGUAGCGGUGAAAUGCGCAGAUAUCAGGAGGAACACCGAUGGCGAAGGCAGGUCUCUGGGCAUUAACUGACGCUGAGGAGCGAAAGCAUGGGGAGCGAACAGG
rnacentral:rRNA from 1 species